UACAGAGGUCCCAAGCGUUGUUCGGAUUCAUUGGGCGUAAAGGGUGCGUAGGCGGCGCGGUAAGUCGGGUGUGAAAUCUCGGGGCUUAACUCCGAAACUGCAUUCGAUACUGCCGUGCUUGAGGACUGGAGAGGAGACUGGAAUUUACGGUGUAGCGGUGAAAUGCGUAGAUAUCAGGAGGAACGCCGGUGGCGAAGGCGGGUCUCUGGGCAGUAACUGACGCUGAGGAGCGAAAGCGUGGGGAGCAAACAGG
rnacentral:rRNA from 1 species